rnacentral:rRNA from 1 species
GAUGAACGCUAGCGGCAGGCCUAAUACAUGCAAGUCGAACGGUAAGGCCCUUUCGGGGGUACACGAGUGGCGGACGGGUGCGUAACGCGUAUGCAACAUGCCUUCCAGCGGGGGAUAUACCAGGGAAACUUGGCGCAAUACCCCAUAGAAUUACGGGACCGCAUGGUCUUGUGAUUAAAACUCCGGUGCUGGGAGAUUGGCAUGCGUGACAUUAGCUAGUUGGCGGGGUAACGGCCCACCAAGGCGACGAUGUCUAGCUGGUCUGAGAGGAUGAUCAGCCACACUGGGACUGAGACACGGCCCAGACUCCUACGGGAGGCAGCAGUAGGGAAUAUUGGACAAUGGGGGGAACCCUGAUCCAGCCAUGCCGCGUGUGUGAAGAAGGCCUCGGUUGUAAGUAC